CCUACGAGAUGCAGCAGUGAGGAAUAUUGGUCAAUGUGCGAGAGCCUGAACCAGCCAAGUCGCGUGAGGGAGUACUUCCCUAUGGGUUGUAUACCUCUUUUGUCGGGGAGCAAAAUCCGGACGUGUCCGGCUGUGAGAGUACCCGAAGAAAAAGCAUCGGCUAACUCCGUGCCAGCAGCCACGGUAAUACGGAGGAUGCGAGCGUUAUCCGGAUUUAUUGGGUUUAACGGGGGCGCAGGCGGAUUUUUAAGUCAGCGGUCAAAUCUUGGGGCUAAACCCCAUCCAGCCGUUGAAACUGGGGAUCUAGAGUGUGAGAGAGGUAUGCGGAAUGCGUGGUGUAGCGGUGAAAUGCAUAGAUAUCACGAAGAACCCCGAUUGCGAAGGCAGCAUACCGGUGCACAACUGACGCUCAGGCACGAAAGCGUGGGUAUCGAACAGGAUUAGAUACCCGAGUAGUC
rnacentral:rRNA from 1 species